UACGUAGGGGGCUAGCGUUGUCCGGAAUCAUUGGGCGUAAAGCGCGUGUAGGCGGCCCGGUAAGUCCGCUGUGAAAGUCGGGGGCUCAACCCUCGGAUGCCGGUGGAUACUGUCGGGCUAGAGUGCGGAAGAGGCGAGUGGAAUUCCUGGUGUAGCGGUGAAAUGCGCAGAUAUCAGGAGGAACACCGAUUGCGAAGGCAGCUCGCUGGGACGUUACUGACGCUGAGACGCGAAAGCGUGGGGAGCAAACAGG
rnacentral:rRNA from 1 species